AAACUCCUGGGAGGUUUAAUUUUAAGAAUUAGAGUUAUUUUUUUGCGACAUCUCAUUAAAUUUAGGGAUUUGAGUAUUUUUAGUCGAUGACAGCUAAAAGCAAUUCAAAGAUUAAGGAUAAAAAUUCCGCCUUGAAAAAUAGCGCUAAAUAAAAACAUUCUUAUGUUGGCUUUUUGGGAGUUU
rnacentral:sRNA from 1 species